GGAGGGUACAGCUCAGUGGUAGACUGUGUGCUUAGCAUGCAUGAGGUCCUGGGUUCAAUCCCCAGCACCUCCA
rfam:Camelus ferus unplaced genomic scaffold scaffold434, whole genome shotgun sequence.